rnacentral:rRNA from 1 species
GGUCAAGUUAUUAAGGGUGCAGGGCGGAUGCCUUGGCACUAGGAGCCGAUGAAGGACGUGAUAAGCUGCGAUAAGCUUCGGGGAGUUGCACGUAAACUUUGAUCCGAAGAUUUCCGAAUGAGGAAACUCACUUAGAGUAAUGUCUAAGUAUCGUUAAGUGAAUACAUAGCUUAGCGAGGGGAACCCGGGGAACUGAAACAUCUAAGUACCCGGAGGAAGAGAAAGAAAUUCGAUUCCGUAAGUAGCGGCGAGCGAACGCGGAACAGGCCAAACCAAUGAAGUUUACUUCGUUGGGGUUGCGGACAUACAACAUGGAUGCAAUAUCGUAAAUGAAGAGAGUUGGAAAGCUCCGCCAUAGAAGGUAAUAGCCCUGUAGUUGAAACGAGAAAGCUACUAGUAUGAUCCAGAGUACCACGGGACACGUGAAACCCUGUGGGAAGCAGGAGGGACCAUCCUCCAAGCCUAAAUACUACCUAGUGACCGAUAGCGCAUAGUACCGUGAGGGAAAGGUGAAAAGAACCCCGGGAGGGGAGUGAAAUAGAACCUGAAACCCUGCACUUACAAGCUGUGGGAGCACAUUACUUGUGUGACCGCGUACUUUUUGUAGAACGGGCCAACGAGUUACGUUAAGUAGCAAGGUUAAGCACUUAAGGUGUGGAGCCGUAGCGAAAGCGAGUCUUAAAUGGGCGAUUAAGUUACUUGGCGUAGACCCGAAACCGGGCGACCUAUCCAUGAGCAGGUUGAAGCGAAAGUAAAAUUUCGUGGAGGACCGAACCCACGAGCGUUGAAAAGCUCGGGGAUGACUUGUGGAUAGCGGUGAAAUUCCAAUCGAGCCCGGAGAUAGCUGGUUCUCCCCGAAAUAGCUUUAGGGCUAGCCUCAAGCGUAGAGAAACGGAGGUAGAGCACUGAAUGUCCUAGGGGGUAUUGCACUUACCGAAGACUAUCAAACUCCGAAUGCCGUUUUCUUUUACUUGGGAGUCAGACUGUGGGUGAUAAGAUUCAUAGUCAAAAGGGCAACAGCCCAGAUCGUCAGCUAAGGUCCCUAAAUGUACGUUAAGUGGUAAAGGAUGUGGGAUUGCACAGACAACCAGGAUGUUGGCUUAGAAGCAGCCACUCAUUUAAAGAGUGCGUAAUAGCUCACUGGUCGAGUGAUCCUGCGCCGAAAAUUUCCGGGGCUAAAACGUACUACCGAAGCUACGGCAUCAUUUAUGAUGGGUAGGGGAGCUUCGUAUGCAGGCUGAAGCAUGACCGUAAGGACAUGUGGACAGUAUACGAGUGAGAAUGUUGGCAUGAGUAGCGAGACGUGGGUGAGAAUCCCACGGGCCGUAAACCCAAGGUUUCCAGGGGAAGGUUCGUCCGCCCUGGGUUAGUCGGGACCUAAGCCGAGGCCGAAAGGCGUAGGUGAUGGACAACAGGUUGAUAUUCCUGUACCGCCAAUAAGCGUUUGAGAGAUGGAGUGACACAGUAGGAUAAGCUAACCGUACUGUUGGUUAUGUACGGCUAAGCAUUGAGGCAGUCUAAAUAGGCAAAUCCGUUUAGACAAUGCUAGGAUGUGAUGGGGAAGCCCUUCGGGGCGAAGUAGCUGAUUUCACACUGUCAAGAAAAGCUUCUAUCGAGUUUAAAGGCGCCCGUACCGUAAACCGACACAGGUGGGUGAGGAGAGUAUCCUAAGGCCAGCGAGAGAACUAUUGUUAAGGAACUCGGCAAAAUGACCCCGUAACUUAGGGAGAAGGGGUGCCUGUCUAUGACAGGCCGCAGAGAAUAGGCCCAAGCGACUGUUUACCAAAAACACAGGUUUCUGCUAAGUCGCAAGACGAUGUAUAGGAGCUGACGCCUGCCCGGUGCUGGAAGGUUAAGGGGAUCUGUUAGAGCAAUCGAAGCAGUGAACUUAAGCCCCAGUAAACGGCGGCCGUAACUAUAACGGUCCUAAGGUAGCGAAAUUCCUUGUCGGGUAAGUUCCGCCCCGCACGAAAGGCGUAACGAUUUGGGCACUGUCUCAACAAUAGACUCGGUGAAAUUGUAAUCCCGGUGAAGAUGCCGGGUACCUGCGACAGGACGGAAAGACCCCAUGGAGCUUUACUGUAGCUUGAUAUUGAAGUUCGGUAUAUUAUGUAGAGAAUAGGUGGGAGACUAUGAAGUUAGGACGCUAGUUCUAAUGGAGUCACCUUUGGAAUACCACCCUUAAUGUAUUGAAUUUCUAACCUCGAUUCAUUAUCUGGAUCAGGGACAGUGUCUGGUGGGCAGUUUGACUGGGGCGGUCGCCUCCCAAAAAGUAACGGAGGCGCCCAAAGGUUCCCUCAGAAUGGUUGGACAUCAUUCAAAGAGCGUAAAGGUAUAAGGGAGCUUGACUGCGAGACCAACAAGUCGAGCAGAUACGAAAGUAGGGCUUAGUGAUCAGACGAUUCAGAAUGGAAUGGUCGUCGCUUAACGGAUAAAAGUUACCCUGGGGAUAACAGGCUGAUCUCCCCCAAGAGUCCACAUCGACGGGGAGGUUUGGCACCUCGAUGUCGGCUCAUCGCAUCCUGGGGCUGAAUUCGGUCCCAAGGGUUUGGCUGUUCGCCAAUUAAAGCGGUACGCGAGCUGGGUUCAGAACGUCGUGAGACAGUUUGGUCUCUAUCCUCUGCGCUCGUUGGAAUGCUGAGGAGGCCUGCCCAUAGUACGAGAGGACCUGGGUGGACGAACCUCUGGUAUGCCGGUUGUCACGCCAGUGGCACGGCCGGUUGGCUACGUUCGGAAGGGAUAACCGCUGAAAGCAUCUAAGCGGGAAGCCUGCUCCAAGAUAAGCAUUCCGUGGAACCUUCGAGUUCCUGUAGUCCCCAUGCAGAACACGUGGUCGAUAGGCCGGACGUGGAAGCCCCGCGAGGGGUGGAGCCGACCGGUACUAACGGACGAAAGGCAACACUAA